GAGGCAGGAAAUGAGUUCCUAAGCACUAAGUCUUUGCAACCUGAUCUUUAGUAAUAAUUUAUUACUACAUUAUACUAGUUUAAUUAGUAAUAACUAAUUAUUAAUACUAAUUAAAUUACUGGUUUAUUCAGCAAUAAAUAAAUAAACACUUAUUGAGCACAAUAUGCCAGACACUCUUCUAAACUCUUUAUGUUAACUUUUUUAAUCUUCACAAACACAUUUUGAAGUAGGUACUGUUCAUAACCCCAUUUUACAAAGAAAAAACUGAAUUUUAGGGAGUUUAAUUGCUGAACCAAGGCCACAGAAUUGGUGAGUUGCAGGUAAAAUUUGAACCCAUUUCUGCAGAUGUCAAGUUGUGUUUUUUUGUCUUUCCAUCAUGCUACUGACACCCAAACCAAAUGAAACUGGCAGCCCGGAUUCUUUCAGAGAGAUGUUGUAAAAGAGUUCCCCCAGCAACCUCACCUGUUAAACCCCCAAAUUAAGUCUGAAGAGCAAAGCAGGAGUCUGACUGCUCUUCAAAGGGAGAGAUGUCAGGAAGCAUGAUGUAGUGAAGCCUCUCUCUGCUAGGUGCUAGAAGUGUACUCCUAGACCUGUCAGCGGCCCUCUUUGGUAUUCAGGAUCUUCAUCUGUAAAAGGAGAAGAUAAAAGUAAUUUGGCUUCGACAAGAUUCCUUCCAACCCUGACAUUCCAUAAUCCUAUGAAACAGCUACCAUUUAUUAUUUCCUCUGUGCCAGAUACUGUGCUGAGUAUUUCACAUAAUCGCAAAAUCAUCACAGCCAACAAAUAGCUGUGAUGGAGCUGCAAAUGAUGGAGCACUGCUUAUUUGCCAGGCUCUGCUGUAAGUACUUGCCCCUGUAUUAUCUCAUUUAAUCCUCAGAACAACACUAAGAGGAAGGUAUUAUUAUCCCCACCACCCUCAAGGAUCUAAGGCUCAGAAGAAUGAUACAAAGCUACUCAAAGUCUCCCAAUCAUUAAGUGCUGCUCUUGGGGUUUGAACCCAGAUUUUUCUGACUCCAUAACCCAUGCUUUUAAUCACUGUACUACUUCAAGUGCCCCCUCAACGUCAGGCAAGGGCAGACACCAGGAAUAGGCUGUGUUGGUUUUUGGUUGCCCCACUGACUAUCCAUCUGCAGUUGUUUUUCUUCCAUUCUGAUCAUCAAUCAUAGUGUGACUUAAAUGGGUCAGGAUAAGGAGUCCCCAGCUGCCAUGCACAGCCACAGCAGCCACUGCCCACAGUCCUUUCUGUGGGCUUUCUGGGCAGCAUUAGUGGAAAGUCCUAUCUGUGAAGUAAACUAACAAGAUUGGGGGAGGGGUCCCCUUAUUUAUUUAAUCAUCACUCCCCAAGGCUAAACUGGUGGCCUGGCAACAGUGAGUAUUUUCUCUGAGCUCAGAAGCCAACUCCAAGUGUUCAGGGUGAACAGGUUGGGAAACUUGAGAACCACACAGACAUCAGGAAAAAUUCCGUGAGUGGUUGUCUGUGGUGAAAUGAUGAUAUGGCCCUGAGUUUGCUCUCCCCAGGAGAACUUGGAAGCUGCCCCCUUUUCCACCUCCCACCUCACUUGGAACUAAGUAAACCAAGAAAUUCUAGGAAGCAGCCCAGUCAGAGGAAAAGCAUCCAAGUAUCAGGAGAGAUGCAUAGUUCUAAGAGGAGCUCAAGAAAUUGUUACAGGAGGAGCCAAGAUGGCCGAAUAGGAACAGCUCCGGUCUACAGCUCCCAGCGUGAGCGACGCAGAAGACGGGUGAUUUCUGCAUUUCCAUCUGAGGUACCGGGUUCAUCUCACUAAGGAGUGCCAGACAGUGGGUGCAGGUCAGCGGGUGCGCGCACCGUGCGCGAGCCGAAGCAGGGCGAGGCAUUGCCUCACUUGGGAAGCGCAAGGGGUCAGGGAGUUCCCUUUCUGAGUCAAAGAAAGGGGUGACGGGCGGCACCUGGAAAAUCGGGUCACUCCCACCCGAACACUGCGCUUUUCUGAAGGGCUUAAAAAGCGUCGCACCACGAGAUUAUAUCCCGCACCUGGCUCGGAGGGUCCUACGCCCACGGAGUCUCGCUGAUUGCUAGCACAGCAGUCU
rnacentral:lncRNA from 1 species